rnacentral:rRNA from 1 species
GACGAACGCUGGCGGCGUGCCUAACACAUGCAAGUCGAGCGGAGACACAAGGGAGCUUGCUCCCGAGUGUUUUAGCGGCGGACGGGUGAGUAACGCGUGAGCAACCUUUCUCUCAGUGGGGAAUAACACAGGGAAGCCUGUACUAAUACCGCAUGAGACCACAAUGCCGCAUGGCAUAGGGGUCAAAGAUUUAUUGCUGAGAGGUGGGCUCGCGUCCGAUUAGAUAGUUGGUGAGGUAACGGCUCACCAAGUCGACGAUCGGUAGCCGACCUGAGAGGGUGAUCGGCCACAUUGGGACUGAGACACGGCCCAAACUCCUACGGGAGGCAGCAGUGGGGAAUAUUGGGCAAUGGGGGAAACCCUGACCCAGCAACGCCGCGUGAAGGAAGAAGGCCUUCGGGUUGUAAACUUCUUUAGUAGGACGAAGAACGUGACGGUACCUACAG